rnacentral:rRNA from 1 species
AUUGAACGCUGGCGGAAUGCUUUACACAUGCAAGUCGAACGGCAGCACGGACUUCGGUCUGGUGGCGAGUGGCGAACGGGUGAGUAAUGUAUCGGAACGUGCCCAGUCGUGGGGGAUAACGUAGUGAAAAUUACGCUAAUACCGCAUACGAUCUAUGGAUGAAAGCGGGGGAUCGCAAGACCUCGCGCGAUUGGAGCGGCCGAUAUCAGAUUAGGUAGUUGGUGGGGUAAAGGCCCACCAAGCCAACGAUCUGUAGCUGGUCUGAGAGGACGACCAGCCACACUGGAAAUGAGACACGGUCCAGACUCCUACGGGAGGCAGCAGUGGGGAAUUUUGGACAAUGGGAAAAAGCCUGAUCCAGCCAUUCCGCGUGCAGGAUGAAGGCCCUCGGGUUGUAAACUGCUUUUGUACAGAACGAAAAGGUUUCUACUAAUACUAGGAGCUCAUGACGGUACUGUAAGAAUAAGCACCGGCUAACUACGUGCCAGCCGCCGCCGCGG